AUAUGUUAAAAAAUAUUAAUUAUUUAGUUAUUAUUUAUUAUCUAAAAUGUAUUAAAGUAAGAAAUUAUUUUUAAAAUUGGUUUGAACAUUUAAAAUAUUGUUAAAAUUAUUUUUCUUUAUGACAUUGUGUAUGUGUAAUUCUAGUAAAACUGAAUUAAUGUUAAUGUUAUUUUGGGUAUUUAAUAUUUUUAAAUAUGUAUUAAUAUCAAAACUUAUUUUAUGGUUAUUUUCUAAAACAUGUUUGGCAAAAUUUGAAUUAAGGGCAGUCUUAUUUAAUUUUAUUUCAAAAAUGUGUUCUUUAUAUCUUAUUUUAAAAUUUCUAUUUGUCUUACCUACAUACAAUUUAUUACAGUUACAUUUAAGUUUAUAUAUAUCAGCAUUGUCAAAAGAAGGUGG